UGAAGCCAGGGGGUGGGACGAGAAGACCUUGGUUGAAAAAUGAAGUAGAGAAGAGCAAGGGGGAGUAAGAGCACAAGGGUGUGAAAGAUGGUGAUGGGAAGACAGAGGGGAGAAGGGAAGACUGAAGAGAGAGAGGAGAAAUCAGUAAGGAAAAAUACUGUGAAGAAAAAGACAUGGAAAUGAAGAGAAGCGUACAUGUAGAGGAAACACUUGGCUUGCAAAAGCUCAAAGAAAACAUCAGGAUAAAUGAAGAAAAAGUUGAGAAGCAGGAAGAAAAGAUUGAGCAAGCCCUUAGCAAGCUGCCUGCUGUGAAUCCUGGUGGCUUCAUAUAAGAGAAGCUUACUGCUUCCUUCUGAGAGAGACAAUUGGCUGAGCAAGUAGAGUGGGAAGAAGGCAGUGUCCUGUGGCUUCUAUUUCCCUGUCUGCUUGGGCAUGUGGAGAACCUCAUUUACACUUCAAAAUCUGUUUGUCUGUGCUUGUGCUGCUGAUCUGCAGACACAAAAAAAUGCUUCUCUGCCAUUCACCCUCUCUUCACUAAGUCCAGAUUGGGCUGGACAAAGCCUGGAAGUUUCAUAAAAGACUGAGGAGUAAGAUGGCUCCACAGGACAUCACACAUGAGUCACCUUCACCCUCGUCUUGCCCUCCCCUGUAUGCAGCCUUUGGGCCUCUGUCCUUUUGCUGCCAGCAUCAAACACUCUCUUAAUGAUCAAUGCAAACAUAACUAGUUUGAGUUGGUGCUGAAGGCAGUGAAUGAUGGAUCCUGCAAGCUUUAUCCUGUCACCUGUUAAAGCUAAUGGGAGUGUGUCACAGUUCCCAUGUUAACUGUGCCUCUGACCCCAUUGUGGCCCUCUUGAGGGCACUGCACUUAGGUCUCAGGCCUCCAGCUGUCACCUUUCUCUAGGUAGGAUCCUGCAAUCGUUUUCCUCCAGACCAGGGACUUAGGCUUCAAACUCCUGUAAUUCACCAUGAUCACCUCAGCCAAUCUGAUUUCAUCCCAGCACCUGCAGUUUUACUUUUUCAGGGACAAUAAUAGGGUUUAUUCAGUGGCCAGCCAGCUCUUGUGAAGCAAAGUACUAUUUAUUCAGAACAAAAGAAUUUAAGAGAAAACCGACCAUAAAAACAGUAAUCAGCAUCUUUUGCUUACCCA
rnacentral:lncRNA from 1 species